rnacentral:misc_RNA from 1 species
GAUGAAGAACGUAGCGAAAUGCGAUAAGUAAUGUGAAUUGCAGAAUCCAGUGAAUCAUCGAGUCUUUGAACGCACAUUGCGCCCCCUGGUAUUCCGGGGGGCAUGCCUGUCCGAGCGUCAUUGCUGCCCUCAAGCACGGCUUGUGUGUUGGGCCUCCGCCCCCCGGCUCCCGGGGGGCGGGCCCGAAAGGCAGCGGCGGCACCGCGUCCGGUCCUCGAGCGUAUGGGGCUUCGUCACCCGCUCCGUAGGCCCGGCCGGCGCCCGCCGGCGACCCCCCUCAAUCUUUCCAGGUUGACCUCGGAUCAGGUAGGGAUACCCGCUGAACUUAAGCAUAUCAAUAAGCGGAGGA